rnacentral:rRNA from 1 species
GGAAGUACUAGAGGUCCCGCCUGCCCUGUGACCACAAAGUUUAACGGCCGCGGUAUCCUGACCGUGCGAAGGUAGCGUAAUCAUUUGUCUUUUAAAUAGAGACCUGUAUGAAUGGCAUAACGAGGGUUUAACUGUCUCCUUCCCCUAGUCAAUGAAAUUGAUCUGCCCGUGCAGAAGCGGACAUAAACACAUAAGACGAGAAGACCCUAUGGAGCUUUAGACAAAAGAUCAAACAUGUAAAGAAACCAAACCAACCAAAAGGAACACGAAGGCCACAAAGCCCAACGUAAACUGAUCUAAAUGUCUUCGGUUGGGGCGACCAUGGGGGAAAGAAAAGCCCCCACGAGGAACAGGGACAACCCCUAAACUAAGAGAGACACCUCUAAGCAACAGAAAAUCUGACCAAAAUGACCCAGGAUACUAAUCCUGAUCAACGAACCAAGUUACCCUAGGGAUAACAGCGCAA